AAUAGAUACCCCGGUAGUCCACGCCGUAAACGAUGUCGACUUGGAGGUUGUGCCCUUGAGGCGUGGCUUCCGGAGCUAACGCGUUAAGUCGACCGCCUGGGGAGUACGGCCGCAAGGUUAAAACUCAAAUGAAUUGACGGGGGCCCGCACAAGCGGUGGAGCAUGUGGUUUAAUUCGAUGCAACGCGAAGAACCUUACCUACUCUUGACAUCCAGAGAACUUAGCAGAGAUGCUUUGGUGCCUUCGGGAACUCUGAGACAGGUGCUGCAUGGCUGUCGUCAGCUCGUGUUGUGAAAUGUUGGGUUAAGUCCCGCAACGAGCGCAACCCUUAUCCUUUGUUGCCAGCGGUUAGGCCGGGAACUCAAAGGAGACUGCCAGUGAUAAACUGGAGGAAGGUGGGGAUGACGUCAAGUCAUCAUGGCCCUUACGAGUAGGGCUACACACGUGCUACAAUGGCAUAUACAAAGAGAAGCGACCUCGCGAGAGCAAGCGGACCUCAUAAAGUAUGUCGUAGUCCGGA
rnacentral:rRNA from 1 species